CGAGGGAUAGAGCAGUGGUUAGCUCGUCGGGCUCAUAACCCGGAGGCCGCAGGUUCGAAUCUUGCUUUCGA
rfam:Ktedonobacter sp. 13_2_20CM_2_54_8 13_2_20cm_2_scaffold_7938, whole genome shotgun sequence.